UACGAAGGGGGCUAGCGUUGCUCGGAAUUACUGGGCGUAAAGGGCGCGUAGGCGGCAAAUUAAGUCAGCUGUGAAAUCUCCGAGCUUAACUCGGAACUGUCAGCUGAUACUGAUCUGCUAGAGUGCGGAAGGGGGCAAUCGGAAUUCUUGGUGUAGCGGUGAAAUGCGUAGAUAUCAGGAGGAACACCGAUGGCGAAGGCAGGUCUCUGGGGCCAUUACUGACACUGAGAAAGCGAAAAGCAUGGGGGAGCGAACAGG
rnacentral:rRNA from 1 species